AACGAACGCUGGCGGCAGGCUUAACACAUGCAAGUCGAACGCCCCGCAAGGGGAGUGGCAGACGGGUGAGUAACGCGUGGGAACAUACCCUUUUCUACGGAAUAGCUCUGGGAAACUGGAAUUAAUACCGUAUACGCCCUACGGGGGAAAGAUUUAUCGGGGAAGGAUUGGCCCGCGUUGGAUUAGCUAGUUGGUGGGGUAAAGGCCUACCAAGGCGACGAUCCAUAGCUGGUCUGAGAGGAUGAUCAGCCACAUUGGGACUGAGACACGGCCCAAACUCCUACGGGAGGCAGCAGUGGGGAAUAUUGGACAAUGGGCGCAAGCCUGAUCCAGCCAUGCCGCGUGAGUGAUGAAGGCCUUAGGGUUGUAAAGCUCUUUCACCGAUGAAGAUAAUGACGGUAGUCGGAGAAGAAGCCCCGGCUAACUUCAUG
rnacentral:rRNA from 1 species